GAAGGGUGCACCGUUCCUGGCGGCACUGCAGUGCCAGGUCGAUGCGUGGAGUGAAAGGAGCAAGCCCCUCUUUCAGCUCCCGGUGCUAAAAAUCCGUUUAAUAUAUAGUCCUCACGUUGGAGAACAUAUCAGAUAUUAAACUGAUAAGAACAGAUACUACACUUGAUCUUAGCCAAAAGGCCGAGAAGCGAU
ensembl:snRNA U2 U2 spliceosomal RNA